UACAGAGGGUGGCGAGCGUUAAUCGGAAUUACUGGGCGUAAAGCGUGCGUAGACGGUUAUUUAAGUCGGGUGUGAAAAGCCCCGGGCUCACCUGGGAACUGCAUUCGAGACUGAAUAGCUAGGGUACGGUAGAGGGAAGUGGAAUUUCCGGUGUAGCGGUGAAAUGCGUAGAUAUUGGGAGGAACACCAGUGGCGAAGGCGGCUCACUGGACCGGAAC
rnacentral:rRNA from 1 species